UAACACGUAGGUAACCUGCCCAUGUGCCCGGGAUAACUUCUGGAAACGGAUGCUAAAACCGGAUAGGUAGCAGACAAGCAUUUGACUGCUAUUAAAGUGGCUAAGGCCAUGAACAUGGAUGGACCUGCGGUGCAUUAGCUAGUUGGUGAGGUAACGGCCCACCAAGGCGACGAUGCAUGGCCGGCCUGAGAGGGCGGACGGCCACAUUGGGACUGAGACACGGCCCAAACUCCUACGGGAGGCAGCAUG
rnacentral:rRNA from 1 species